rnacentral:rRNA from 1 species
CACGUAGGGCGCAAGCGUUGUCCGGAAUUAUUGGGCGUAAAGAGCUCGUAGGCGGUCUGUUGCGUCUGCUGUGAAAACCCGGGGCUUAACCCCUGGCUUGCAGUGGAUACGGACAGACUAGAGGUAGGUAGGGGAGAAUGGAAUUCCCGGUGUAGCGGUGAAAUGCGCAGAUAUCGGGAGGAACACCGGUGGCGAAGGCGGUUCUCUGGGCCUUACCUGACGCUGAGGAGCGAAAGCGUGGGAGCGAACAGG